rnacentral:rRNA from 1 species
UACGGGUAGGGUGCAAGCGUUCAAUUCGGAAUAGCUAGGGGCGUAAACGUGCGCAGGCGGCGACCGCAAGUCAGGCAGUCGAAACUCCCCGAGCCGUCAACUUGGGAAAUUGCCACUUGAAACUACGGUGCUGGGAAGUAUGGCAGAGGGAGUAGGAAUCCACGUGAGCGGUGAAAUGCGUAGAGAUGUGGAGGACACCGAUGGCGAAGGCAGCCUCCUGGGCCAAUAACGUGACGCUCGAUGACACGAAAGCGUCGGGGAGCAAACAGG